ensembl:lncRNA
AUGUAUCCGGAGUAUAUUAUUUUUUACAGCUUCUGUUUCGAUGGCAUAUUUAAAAAAGUCCUCCCGAUGACCUCGCGGUGUUGGACUUCCUUCCCCGCUCCGGUCAAGCUACCUGAACACAUCUCAAUGUGCUGGACUCAUGGUACUGAACGUUGCAUGGUCAAAAGCUUUACCGACACAAACAAGGCUCUUUCUCAUCUGCCUUUGUAUUUGAUAUUUAUGUGUAUAAAAGAAACACUAUUUUGUAAUGUAUGCUCGUUUGUUCGUCGCCCGGUUUCCUCAAGUAGACAGAUAAAUGCGUUGUUCAAGCUUCUUUUUUUUCUUUUUUUUCUCCAGAGGACUUAAAGGCAGACGCUCACUCAGUUUGGUGCAGCUAUGACUGGUCUGGGCCCGUCUGGUGAAGUGAGUUCCAGCAGGGUUCCCUUCGAACCAUCUGUCUACCCAGGCAACACACACACACACACACACACACACACACACACAAACAAACAGGGCAAAUUUGUAGAAGGCUGAUGAUUUUUAGAUCCUUUAUUAACAUUCAAAGUUGGUUUUUCAGAUUUCAGAGCUGCCUUCACAAGAUCCAACUUUCACCCAUCCGAUGGUUUUUUGACUUCUUUGAUUUUUGCGAUUCUUACCAACAUCACAUAAAAACUGAAACACUCAUACUAGAGGUCUAAAUUCAGCAUGAAGCCUGUUUUAGGCAACACAGUCCUUGCAAAUGGGUUGGCCUGCCGCCUCCCGUAGGGACGCCGUGUCGGGACAGAGCCACAACCUGUCAAAUGUUAAGUGCUGAAUGAUUGAGUGUAAGAGCAACAUCCAGUUUCAUUAUAUCAAUGCAUUCAUCUCUGUCUCGCGCAGAAGAAGACGACAUCAAACACCCUGGAUUCCUUUUCUUUUUUUCAUGUUACAUCCAUCAGCCUCGUCCUCUUUGUCCUCUGGAGAUAAAAUUCCACACAGAAAGCAUCGCUUAACAAAGCAGGAAAAAAAAAUAGCUUUGCAUUGAUCCUGAGAAAUGUAUGGUCAUAAUAAAGUAUAUUAUUUCACAUGUGCAUGUGGCCUCUGCGUCUUUUUGCCAUCAUCUUUUCAUGACCAAGAGCAUUGAUAUUUCUUGGAAAUGUGAUGACCAAAACGUAUGAAAUGCACCUGACCAAAAGCUUCAAUUUACACAAGAAGAGGAAAUUCACAGAUGUUGAUUGUGCAGCUGUCUAUACAAAGAAAACACAUUUCUCUGCUAAUAACUGGACCAGUAUUGUACACAACUAACAUUUAACUCCUGUGCACAUUAACAAGCCUGGAAAAAAAUUGUUAUUAGAUUUUCUUUUAUGCAUUAUCUGCUUGUGGCGCAGCAGUCGCGCCACUGUUGUUGAAAUGACUCAAUAUUGUAGUAAGACUACCUCGACUUCGGGAAAAGCGAACUGUACAUUUUUUGUUUCCGUAGAUUCAUCUCUUUCGCUGUGGGAGCAUUGUAACGCAACCUGGGCAGAGGAGAGAUAAAUAAGUCGGGGGAAUUGCCCUUGUCGGCUUGUGGGAAUCUCCCAGAAACGACUUCCAGCUUCAGGGACAUUCCCAGGAUGCAGCUGCAUUUAGCCUCUAAUAAAAAAAAAUCCUUUGCUGGAAGGCUGCAUUUUACUGUGGCUCCUGAAAAACCACCAUUACCAGUAACACUCGUGAGGUAUGUGCCAUUAAGCUGAACUCAGAACCGCGUGUACCGCAGGUAGACACGGAGGGCAGUUCGCUGAAACGGUUAAAUGUCAUAAGCUCCAAAAUUAAAACAGGUCUGAGAAAAAAACGUCAGUCUCCAGCUGAGGCGAUACGCGUCUCUGGCAGUCGGCAUGAGAAGAAGCCAGAGCAGCCGCAGGCCGCUCAGCAACUGAAUGGUUUUCAGCCUUGUUUGAUGUCACGACCGUCUGUUCAUAUCAUGUAUUUAUGGCUAUUUUCACGGGUUACGAGGAAGCUCUAAUGCACAGAAUGUACACAUGCCUGUGCGCUCCGCACAAGUCAAGGACACCUACCCGUGCAAAACCUCCAUAAACAUUUAGACUGGAAUUCAAGUGUUUGAAAGUGUAUAUCAUUGUAAACAUGGAGAUUAACAUUCCUGUCAGCCUCGAGUUAUUUUGGAUCCAUUGCGAAACUCAAAUAGAAAAUGAUCCACUCAACGUGUCUGGGGGAAAAUAAAAGUUUUUUUACUCUUAGACUCGGGGCGCCGACUCUUAACGUCCCUCGGUGAGAAAUACUUUGUUAACGUUUGACUUGCAGAGCACUUCUCUCAGUCCCCAAUAAGAGCAAACAUGAAAUCCCAUCUGAAGACGGAGGUAGACACAGUCACGCGGAGCCUGUUUGGAUAGUCAGGGUCGCCGCUCGAUAUCAGGCCGACGUCUGGCUGAGUGAACCGAGCUGAACUUUUGUUCAUUUUCUAAUUUGGGAGAGAGAGAGACGAGAUAUGGGCCUCUUUAGGUAAACAUCCUUGACAGCCACCUGCAUGUGAAACCAGACCUUUUCUCCCCGUCUUCUUUCUCUCCUCUGUUCCCUUGAUCUCUGCUCGCCUUCCAGUCAGUAUCAUGACUGACCUUCUUCGGUAUAGCGUAUUGUAUAGUGCAGUUUUAAUCAUCAUACACAGUUUCAGUCCCCAAAAAAAUCCCUACAGAGGAUCUUUGAUCCAAAGGUUGUAUCAAAUGUUCUUCAUCGAGCAUGUGUAGACAGUGUUUCUUCUUCUUCUUCUUCUUCGGUAAUGUUGUUGUUGAGUCAGUUUAUUACCUUGGCUGUGUGCAGGAGAGCCAUAUGUCAGGAGUGUUGCCAAGCCAGAAGAAGAAAAAAAAUACACUUCCUAGCCAAAAUUUCUCAACAGAGAAGCAAGUGACCCUGGCAGAGCUCGGAUUGUGCUUCCGACUAACAUAACAGCAAAUUUCCAAAAGGUUAAUAUUGUCCUUGGCUUGUCUGUGGGAUCCCGUGUAGCAGAGUUGCUGUGGCACAAACCCAACACAACCAAGCACGUUCAUUCACCCCUUCAUACCGUGUGGAAUGAUGGCACUGGGGCGAUCCUUACCUGUGAGCCGGUUCUGGGCCACAAGCAAUGCCACAUCAGCCAAGAGCGGCCCAAAUAAACCAGCACUGGUCCUGAUCCUGCCAAAAGCACCGAAUCCUGAUUUGGGAAGUUUGGGGCCCCAUUUGCUAUUUGAAAUGUGGGCCAGCGGAAAGGCCAACAGUGCUGCGUCGUUUCCUGAAGUGGCCCACAGAAGAUGUAAAUCAGAUAAGAUGUUCCUUUAUUGAUCCCCGAGUGGGGGGAAUUCAAAUUUGACACAGCAGCACAGAAGUGAAGCAGCACAGAAAACAGCAUCUAAGGUAUAUAAGAUUAAUUAGAAAUAGUUUACAAUAAGAAAUACUAUUAACAGAAACAUGCAUUGUAAAAUAAAGUUAUUGUACAAUCUGGGUUGUUUACUGAAUUUGUUUUUUGUAAUAAUACUCAAACUUGCUCUACAAUAUCUGCUUAACAACUUACAGCAACAUUUAAGUUUUGUUUAUGGUUUAGGCACAGGUAGCUGUUUAAAAGAGAGAAAAAAAAUCACAGUGACUUCAGACAGGUUUAUUAACCAAAAGCAGGAUCUCUUUGUUCACCUCCCCACCACUCCAACCAACUCCACCUGCAACCGCCGUGAUUGAUGAGGUUGGUACAGUGCGUUGUUUGCUUACGUUGGUUGGCCACUGUCAGUCAUAUCUGGUCGAAACACAACCACACAGACCUGAAGCAGAUUAGCUGCCUUCGACUUUGAUUCUUAUAUAGUCGCAGACAUUUGUUGUUGCAUAGAAAAACUGUCGGAUUUAAGACCAAGUUUUUUAGGGGGCAUUUAUACAUUCUUUGCUGUCUCCAGAGGAAGACGUUUAUCUUGCGAUAAGGCCAAGAUCGGACAGUCAUAGUGCGAUUAAAGCCCAUUCAACACGUGAUUAAAAACGUGGUAUGAACCCAUGGCUUUAUCAUUCAAUCGUGGCUUUAUGCUCCCAACAGUGGUUACUACAGCGAAGUCAUAUCCAGGCCUUUUAACAUCUUUCACUGGACGUCUUCUGAGAGGCUGCGGUUGGUUAAUGGUCUCCAGGACAUGCUACUCAUCUACUCCUUAUGAACAUGGGAGAGCUAAGCUCGGGUAAUUGCUG